rnacentral:rRNA from 1 species
CCUACGGGUGGCUGCAGUGGGGAAUAUUGGACAAUGGGGGCAACCCUGAUCCAGCCAUGCCGCGUGUGUGAAGAAGGCCCUCGGGUUGUAAAGCACUUUCAGUGAGGAAGAACGCCUGGUGGUUAAUACCCAUCAGGAAAGACAUCACUCACAGAAGAAGCACCGGCUAACUCCGUGCCAGCAGCCGCGGUAAUACGGAGGGUGCGAGCGUUAAUCGGAAUUACUGGGCGUAAAGCGCGCGUAGGUGGCUUGAUAAGCCGGUUGUGAAAGCCCCGGGCUCAACCUGGGAACGGCAUCCGGAACUGUCAAGCUAGAGUGCAGGAGAGGAAGGUAGAAUUCCCGGUGUAGCGGUGAAAUGCGUAGAGAUCGGGAGGAAUACCAGUGGCGAAGGCGGCCUUCUGGACUGCAACUGACACUGAGGUGCGAAAGCGUGGGUAGCAAACAGGAUUAGAUACCCUUGUAGUC